rnacentral:rRNA from 1 species
UUGAAGGUUGAGUAACAUCAACUGGAGGACCGAACCGACUAAUGUUGAAAAAUUAGCGGAUGACUUGUGGCUAGGGGUGAAAGGCCAAUCAAACCUGGAGAUAGCUGGUUCUCCCCGAAAGCUAUUUAGGUAGCGCCUCGGACGAAUACUACUGGGGGUAGAGCACUGUUAAGGCUAGGGGGUCAUCCCGACUUACCAACCCUUUGCAAACUCCGAAUACCAGUAAGUACUAUCCGGGAGACACACGGCGGGUGCUAACGUCCGUCGUGGAGAGGGAAACAACCCAGACCGCCAGCUAAGGUCCCAAAUUACUACUAAGUGGGAAACGAUGUGGGAAGGCUCAGACAGCCAGGAUGUUGGCUUAGAAGCAGCCAUCAUUUAAAGAAAGCGUAAUAGCUCACUGGUCGAGUCGGCCUGCGCGGAAGAUGUAACGGGGCUAAGUAGUAAACCGAAGCUGCGGCAAUAUACUUUUGUAUAUUGGGUAGGGGAGCGUUCUGUAAGCGGUUGAAGGUGUGUGGUAACGCAUGCUGGACGUAUCAGAAGUGCGAAUGCUGACAUGAGUAACGAUAAAGGGGGUGAAAAACCUCCUCGCCGGAAGACCAAGGGUUCCUGUCCAACGUUAAUCGGGGCAGGGUAAGUCGACCCCUAAGGCGAGGCCGAAAGGCGUAGUCGAUGGGAAACGGGUUAAUAUUCCCGUACUUCUUACAAUUGCGAUGGGGGGACGGAGAAGGCUAGGUGGGCCUGGCGACGGUUGUCCAGGUUCAAGUGCGUAGGCUUAAGAGUUAGGUAAAUCCGGCUCUUUUUAAGGCUGAGACACGACGUCGAGCACCUACGGGUGUGAAGUCAUUGAUGCCAUGCUUCCAGGAAAAGCCUCUAAGCUUCAGAUUGUAAGGAAUCGUACCCCAAACCGACACAGGUGGUCGGGUAGAGAAUACCAAGGCGCUUGAGAGAACUCGGGUGAAGGAACUAGGCAAAAUGGUACCGUAACUUCGGGAGAAGGUACGCUCUUGAUGGUGAAGUCCCUUGCGGAUGGAGCUGACGAGAGUCGCAGAUACCAGGUGGCUGCAACUGUUUAUUAAAAACACAGCACUGUGCAAAAUCGUAAGAUGACGUAUACGGUGUGACGCCUGCCCGGUGCCGGAAGGUUAAUUGAUGGGGUUAGACUUCGGUCGAAGCUCUUGAUCGAAGCCCCGGUAAACGGCGGCCGUAACUAUAACGGUCCUAAGGUAGCGAAAUUCCUUGUCGGGUAAGUUCCGACCUGCACGAAUGGCGUAAUGAUGGCCACGCUGUCUCCACCCGAGACUCAGUGAAAUUGAAAUCGCUGUGAAGAUGCAGUGUACCCGCGGCUAGACGGAAAGACCCCGUGAACCUUUACUACAGCUUGGCACUGAACAUUGACCCUACAUGUGUAGGAUAGGUGGGAGGCUUUGAAGCACGUACGCCAGUAUGUGUGGAGCCGUCCUUGAAAUACCACCCUUGUAGUGUUGAUGUUCUAACGUCGACCCCUAAUCGGGGUUGCGGACAGUGCCUGGUGGGUAGUUUGACUGGGGCGGUCUCCUCCCAAAGAGUAACGGAGGAGCACGAAGGUGGGCUAAUCACGGUUGGACAUCGUGAGGUUAGUGCAAUGGCAUAAGCCCGCUUGACUGCGAGAAUGACAAUUCGAGCAGGUGCGAAAGCAGGUCAUAGUGAUCCGGUGGUUCUGAAUGGAAGGGCCAUCGCUCAACGGAUAAAAGGUACUCCGGGGAUAACAGGCUGAUACCGCCCAAGAGUUCAUAUCGACGGCGGUGUUUGGCACCUCGAUGUCGGCUCAUCACAUCCUGGGGCUGAAGUCGGUCCCAAGGGUAUGGCUGUUCGCCAUUUAAAGUGGUACGCGAGCUGGGUUUAGAACGUCGUGAGACAGUUCGGUCCCUAUCUGCCGUGGGCGUUGGAAGAUUGAAGGGGGCUGCUCCUAGUACGAGAGGACCGGAGUGGACGAACCUCUGGUGUUCGGGUUGUGUCGCCAGACGCAUUGCCCGGUAGCUAAGUUCGGAAUCGAUAACCGCUGAAAGCAUCUAAGCGGGAAGCGAGCCCUGAGAUGAGUCUUCCCUGAUACUUUAAGUAUCCUAAAGGGUUGUCGGAGACUACGACGUUGAUAGGUCAGGUGUGUAAGUGCUGUGAGGCAUUGAGCUAACUGAUACUAAUUGCCCGUGAGGCUUAACCAUACAACACCCAAGGGGUUU